AUUGAACGCUGGCGGAAUGCUUUACACAUGCAAGUCGAGCGGCAGCGCGGGGCAACCUGGCGGCGAGCGGCGAACGGGUGAGUAAUGCAUCGGAACAUGUCCAUGUCGUGGGGGAUAGCCCGGCGAAAGCCGGAUUAAUACCGCAUACGCUCGAGAGAGGAAAGCCGGGGACCGCAAGGCCUGGCGCGAUUGGGUUGGCCGAUGUCCGAUUAGCUAGUUGGUGAGGUAAAGGCUUACCAAGGCGAUGAUCGGUAGCUGGUCUGAGAGGAUGAUCAGCCACACUGGGACUGAGACACGGCCCAGACUCCUACGGGAGGCAGCAGUGGGGAAUUUUGGACAAUGGGGGCAACCCUGAUCCAGCCAUUCCGCGUGAGUGAAGAAGGCCUUCGGGUUGUAAAGCUCUUUUGUCCGGAGCGAAACGGUUGCGGUGAAUAUCCGCGACUACUGACGGUACCGGAAGAAUAAGCACCGGCUAACUACGUGCCAGCAGCCGCGGUAAU
rnacentral:rRNA from 1 species